ACCUCGGUGGUGUAGUGGUAGAGCAUGCGUCCCCGGUAUAGAUGAGACGCGGGUUCGACUCCCGUCUAAGUUCGUA